UACGUAGGGUGCGAGCGUUGUCCGGAAUUAUUGGGCGUAAAGAGCUCGUAGGCGGUGUGUCGCGUCGGCCGUGAAAACCUGGGGCUUAACUCUGGGCGUGCGGUCGAUACGGGCAUCACUGGAGUUCGGCAGGGAGACUGGAAUUCCUGGUGUAGCGGUGAAAUGCGCAGACUAUCAGGAGGAACACCGGUGGCGAAGGCGCCACUCUGGGCCGGUACUGACGCUGAGGAAGCGAAAGCGUGGGUAGCAAACAGG
rnacentral:rRNA from 1 species